AACGCACCUUGCACCCUUUGGUAUUCCGAAGGGUACGCCCGUUUGAGUGUCAUUGUAAUCUCACCUCGGAAAUUUAUUUUUUUCGGAGUGGACUUGGACGUUGCCGUGUGGUGCGGCUCGUCUGGAAUGUCUCAGUGUACUCCGCCCGUCGGCGUAGACAGUGUGAUAGGUAUCUUCACUGUGUGGUCUCUUCGGAGGCGCGCCUUCAGGACGUGAACAUGUGCUGCCAACCGUCUUCGGACGAUCUCUGACGAUUUGACCUCAAAUCGGGUGGGACUACCCGCUGAACUUAA
rnacentral:misc_RNA from 1 species